CUCCUCGCCGCCACCGCCCAGGACCGCCGGCCGGGGGACGAGCUCGGAGCAGCAGCCAGUGGAGUUUUGCUCUUGUCGCCCAGGCUGGAGUGCAGUGGCGUGAUCUCGGCUCACUGCAACCUCCACCUCCCAGGUUCAAGCGAUUUUCCCACUUCAGCCUCCCGAUAAGCUGAGAUUACAAGUUUAUUAACCACUUAACCUCUCAGAACUGAACAAAGACAACAUUGUUCCUGGAACGCCCUCUUUUUAAAAAAAAAGCAUAACCCCUACUGUAGAACUAAAUGCACUGUGCAUGAAACUUGGAAAAAAACCAAUGUAUAAGCCUGUUGACCCUUACUCUCGGAUGCAGUCCACCUAUAACUACAACAUGAGAGGAGGUGCUUAUCCCCCGAGUACUUUUACCCAUUUCCAGUUCCACCUUUACUUUAUCAAGUGGAACUUUCUGUGGGAGGACAGCAAUUUAAUGGCAAAGGAAAGACAAGACAGGCUGCGAAACACGAUGCUGCUGCCAAAGCGUUGAGGAUCCUGCAGAAUGAGCCCCUGCCAGAGAGGCUGGAGUGAAUGGAAGAGAAUCCGAAGAAGAAAAUCUCAAUAAAUCUGAAAUAAGUCAAGUGUUUGAGAUUGCACUUAAACGGAACUUGCCUGUGAAUUUCGAUCUUUCCCUCUGAAACAGGUGGCCCGGGAGAGUGGCCCACCCCACAUGAAGAACUUUGUGACCAAGGUUUCGGUUGGGGAGUUUGUGGGGGAAGGUGAAGGGAAAAGCAAGAAGAUUUCAAAGAAAAAUGCCGCCAUAGCUGUUCUUGAGGAGCUGAAGAAGUUACCGCCCCUGCCUGCAGUUGAACGAGUAAAGCCUAGAAUCAAAAAGAAAACAAAACC
rnacentral:lncRNA from 1 species